CCAUCUUUGGAUUGUGGGAAGAAAUCGGAACAGCUAGAAGAAACUCACGAGGUCACAGGAAAAAGGUACAGCAUGAGACACAACAUGGUAACAGGCCUCCCUGCCUACAAGCCUGUGCGGCCUAAUUGCACCCACUGAACAAUUAACUUAAGAAACAUUACGUCUUUGGAGGAAAUCAGAGCACCCGGAGGAAACCCACAUGGAGAAGAGGAGAACAUACACACUCUUUAACAGACAGCAGCGGGAAUUGAACCUUGGGUCGCUGGCGCGGAGACCGCGUUACGCUGACCGCUUUGCCAUCGUGCCGCCCUCUGCGUCGACGAGCCGUGCUGAAACGCGGGCGGUGUCCUCUCAGAGCCGAUGGCUCUCUUUCACACACAAAGGAACUCGCUGGCUGGUAAAAUGUGCCAUCUGCUUUCAAGUAUGCUGCCUCAUAAACCAUUUUCUGUGGGAUCGCAGUCCACUGAAGUUGUGUUCACUUACUGGAGAAAAUCUCACCCCAUCCUUGGCAGGCACUGUGCAGAUUCCUGAAAUAAUUUCCCACCAACAUUCCGAAACUGGGUUAUUGUAAGAGGCAAAAGGAAUAUUUUAAUAAAGUCUUCCACCAACA